ensembl:lncRNA
CCCCUCCAAGCAGCAGACAGGGGAACACAGACAACCAGACAUCCAGCCAAACCAUAAUUGUGUGUUCGUGUGUCUGCAUUUUUUUUAUCCUCCCUGUGACAUGAAGAAGUAAAGCAAGUAGUGAGAAUUAGUUCUCAGUGCCUCUUUAGUCCUGAGACAUUGAGCCUCAAUUUACUUGUCUGAACAAGUGGAGGUAGCAGUAAAAAUCGCUGGAAGUGAUUAAAAUGUGCUUGAUGGCCUUCAUCUUGGCCUGGGUAUCCAUGGCAACCCCAAUGCUCUGUCAAACUGAAGAGUGGGGCUCAGGCUCGGACGUGUUCUCUGUAAUGACCAACAACUACACAAUACAGGUCGUGGGUGACGAGCCUCAGAAGACGAGCAACAGCCACGAAUGGUUCACCUCAGCAGAUUUCUCCUCAUCAUCUUCACCAAGGCUGCAGGCUGAGCAUCAGCUGGACAGAUGUUCAGUCCACUUCAGCACUUCAUCUCGAAGACUGAAGGCAGACAACGAGCAGCUGGCUUAUAUGCACACUGUGCAGCAUGGAAACAAGGCUGUGAUGGACAACUUACUGCAGUUUGUUGGGGCAGAGCUGGGAGAUGAGCGGUACGAGGAUGUGAUCAAGGAAAAUAUUAUCCGCAUCCAAGAGGACCAGAAGACCUGCCAUGAGGUGGUCAAGAAAGCUGAGGACGACAUGCAAGAGCAGUUGGAGGGAGAAGCUGUGGCCAUGCUCACGGGGAUGAAGAAAAUCAGGGAAGAGUCCAAAGCUUUUGAAGACAUGCUUCAUGCAACGAUUGGCAUCGCUGACCGACUGGAGAUCUCUUCCAAAGUUCUGCAAUCUGCUUUCACCAAACAGCUGAAAGACAUCGCAAAAAUCCAUCGCUAAGCUGCUGCAUUUCACUACACCCGAUUGAGCACCUUACAACACGUUAUCACUCUGAUAGAACAAAUAUUUUUCAGACUGAUAAACAAAUGGCCAAUCAUGGAAGUGCUACAUCAGCUGAUUACAAAGCCAAAUCUCUGUCAAUGUCAUGACUGUGACUUUUUACAGCUCCACCGUGAGGUCCAGAGGACAACAACACACAAACAAAUUUAUCUUACAAUAGUUGUUCAACAAAGUGCAUUUCUCAUCACCUAUUAAUAUAUACAUACUUACCUAUAUCUUCAUCUUUUUUAGACCUAAUGUGCAGAACAUGUAUUAAAAUGUUACAUGGAUAAAUGGAAAACAACACUCAGAGAGAGAAGAGAUCUAUCAAGAAGUUCAUUUCCCACCAUAUGGUGAUUGACAUCCAUAGUACGGUAUAUAAUGUAUAUGAGCAGUAGCAGCACAAGGUCAAAGGUCAAACUCCAUCCGAAUUCCGCAACAUCACCAACAUUUAAUCAGGUAUUCCACUGACCAUUCUCAACCUUUCCUGAAAAGUUUAUUAAAAUCCACUCAUAACUGAGUAAUUUAGCUAAUAAUCAAAUAAACUCCAGCUGCCACUUAACCUCCUCCGUGGAUGGAAAUAUCAGCUGUCUAAUAUCAAGCAUUACCACUAAUGAGCAGCUCUCAGUCACAGAAACAACACAGAUCCCGUGUGGCUUUGGAGAGUGAACGGUGUGCCAGUGCAAGAAUUUGAAUGAGCACAGCAAAAAAAUAAUUAUGGGUUGGAAUAAAACGGGGACCCUUCAAAUAAUUUUUAACCUCAUAACCACAAUUUGUUGGUUUUUUCUAUCCAAGAAUCAUUUGUGGAUAUUCAGUGAGGUCAGAUGUGGCAACAGUAAGUAGGUAGGUUCAGGUCAAGCUUGGUAUUUACUUAAAACCAGGUUUGCUUAGUGAGCCAAAAUAAUGAUUCUCCUAGUUUUCUCCAGAAGACGCUUCGCAUUAGCCCUGUUCAGGGUGAGAACAGGGCCAAGGUCAGAUGGCUGAUGUAUACUAAUGAAGAAUCCAGCAAGAGGAUGGAGAAAACUACUACAAGGAGCUGUGUUUACAUUGAUAGCAUCGUAAAAAUGCAGCAAUCUAAUAUUUUAUAUAGGAAUUCCAAUGAUUGGGAAUAAAUAAUACGAGUGAAGAGGGGAAGGUGCAUAAUGUCUGCCUUUUAACCACUAAAACGAAUGGGCCCAAAAAUAAUUUACAUCCCGAUUGCCCUAUAGAAUCUUUUAAAGGCGAUGUUUAGUUUUGCAUUUGUCAGCAUCUUUGCACAGCGGCAAGAACACUAUGUAUAUUAAUUCACGGAGUCUUCCCUAUAGCUGUUUAAGAUAUAAACAGUAUGGACAUAGAGGUUUAUUAAACUGUACAUGCCACAUAUUUACAAUGUAUUUUUAUAAGAAAUAAUGAUAGUAAAUAAAUGAGUCAAUGGUUAUUCUAUCCUAUCCUGUGUGUGUGUGUGUGUGUGAGAGAGAGAGAGACAUAGAGAGAGAGAGCGUGUGUGAGAGAGUGAAAGAGAAAAAGAGGAGGGACUCUCACAGGUACCAGGAGGUUCCCAGACAUGCCUUGUCCUCUGACAGUGAAUGAUGCACAUUUGGGGACCCACAAGUACUUUUAGAAAAUACAUUUUCUUCUUUUGAGGCGAGUUAAUGCGUCCUCGGUGUGUUAUGAGGGCAUCACUGUGACCUGCAGGACAGCGCUGUAUCCUGAUUCAGCAACGGGUGACGGAUCGCUCGCCGGCCGGCUGCUCGAAUAACUCAAGCCUGGUCGUGGAUGAAGCAGGGGCGGGCGAAACAUACCGACAGUGAGGGUGUGCGUGGAGCUGUUCGGCCAGGCUGUCGCCGUGGUCUCCCCCAGCGCGCCGUCUCAGCAGUGGACAACUUGUCCUGCCAUGCUUCCCGGGUGCGAAGAUGACAGAUUUGGCUCACAGAACUCGCUUUCAGCAAGACGCCGUUUGGAAAGUAUACGGAACCGCCUCCGUACUCACCGAUGAAGUUGGAUU